rnacentral:rRNA from 1 species
UUCGCCCAUUAAAGCGGUACGCGAGCUGGGUUCAGAACGUCGUGAGACAGUUCGGUCCCUAUCUGUCGUGGGCGUAGGAAAUUUGAGAGGAGCUGUCCUUAGUACGAGAGGACCGGGAUGGACGUACCGCUGGUGCACCAGUUGUUCCGCCAGGAGCAUGGCUGGGUAGCUACGUACGGAAGGGAUAAGCGCUGAAAGCAUCUAAGCGUGAAGCCC